CUUUCUUUGCUGGCGACCGGCGCACGGGUGAGUAACACGUAUCCAACCUGCCCUUUACUCGGGGAUAGCCUUUCGAAAGAAAGAUUAAUACCCGAUAGCAUAAUGAUUCCGCAUGGUUUCAUUAUUAAAGGAUUCCGGUAAAGGAUGGGGAUGCGUUCCAUUAGGUUGUUGGUGAGGUAACGGCCCACCAAGCCUUCGAUGGACAGGGGUUCUGAGAGGAAGGUCCCCCACAUUGGAACUGAGACACGGUCCAA
rnacentral:rRNA from 1 species